CACUCCUGCGGGAGGCAGCAGUGGGGAAUAUUGGACCAUGGGCGCAAGCCUGAUCCAGCCAUGCCGCGUGAGUGAUGAAGGCCCUAGGGUUGUAAAGCUCUUUCACCGGUGAAGAUAAUGACGGUAACCGGAGAAGAAGCCCCGGCUAACUUCGUGCCAGCAGCCGCGGUAAUACGAAGGGGGCUAGCGUUGUUCGGAUUUACUGGGCGUAAAGCGCACGUAGGCGGACUAUUAAGUCAGGGGUGAAAUCCCGGGGCUCAACCCCGGAACUGCCUUUGAUACUGGUAGUCUUGAGUUCGAGAGAGGUGAGUGGAAUUCCGAGUGUAGAGGUGAAAUUCGUAGAUAUUCGGAGGAACACCAGUGGCGAAGGCGGCUCACUGGCUCGAUACUGACGCUGAGGUGCGAAAGCGUGGGGAGCAAACAGGAUUAGAUACCCGGGUAGUCCCAUGA
rnacentral:rRNA from 1 species